GCGAGCGGCAAAAAUGCAAGUCAAGCGCUUAGUAUCCCGCAGCGUAAUUAAUUAUAGAUGAGCAUUAUGGACGGAGCUAUACGAGUACAAUGACUCACAUUUUGUUUGAUCACGAUAGUCUUAUGAGGUCCGAUAUAAUCGGCCAUAUGUGUCGGGCUUUGUGCGGCGAUGGUAUGCUAACAAGUUGAAUUUCACCUUGUGAUUCAAGCGCGCCGUGAGUUAUUUAUUCCUGCUGCAAACUCGACCUGUUUGCAAUCGACCAGUUACAAAUGUUUGGCCAACAGUAUGAUCACUUACACAUGCGUAUGACAAAUAUGUAUAUUAAUAAUUUCGAGCGUAUUUAAAUUUCGAAAUCAAAUUUAAUUAAAUGAUUUAUCCGAGGGGAAGUUAGUAAAGGCAUCCUUUAAAUGCUUGAAACGUUUGAUUGAACAAUAUAAUGUAGCUUGCAAAAUGCAUAACUGCACGAGUUAGAGCAAUUUCUUUUGAUAACAUAUGCGAUGUUCCAUUUGCGACGCCGGCGUGCCAUCAGCAAAUCGACUGCGUCGAUUUAAAUUGAUCUCUCCUUCUGCCAUCCACUGUUAGAUUCUAUUAAUACUAUGCAGUAAGAAAUAAAAAUGACGUAAGACACGUGGUUGCGAUAUUAUUCAAUUGUUAUCGUACAUUGCGAUGGACUUCCAAAGCGAUUCUUUAUCUUCCUCCUCUAUUAGUCUUUACGUGCUCCAUUAAACAACGAUAAUUAACCGUUAAGGUAUUCAUACGUUAUCAUUAGCUAUGGACGGGCUUUUAUGUCAAGCAUAUUUCUCGACUCGUAGUUUAUACUGGUUGUUCAACCGGUACUUACAACAUUUUCCUGAGUGUUUAACGAACGACAAGACGAUGCCAUUAGAAAACACGGACAUUAACUGACGAUCAGUCAACUGUCGAACGGUUUUCCCAGUUUAACCGGCUCUUUUCAAGAUCGUAAAUAAUUGGUAGGAAACUUUUCCGUUGAUGCGGCUAAACAGAUCAUCGUACACUGAUUGCUCAUCGUUACAACAGGUUGCUGACAACACGGAAUGUCGUACAAAAAAAACGAACAACUCAUCAAAUCUGACGUUUUUAGCAAAACAACAUAGUGUAACUCGUUCAUACGCGCACGUCAUUGAAUAUUUAUGACUGAAACUUUCAUUGCGAUAAAUCACGAGGUUCUUCGUGAUGGAAAAUGUAUGCCUAGAACUCGAAAUGCAUUUUCGAAAGUUAUGCUUCCGGCUUCCUUUCCCGCGCGAUUCAAUUCCGGAUGCAAAUUUCGGAUGGUGACGAUGCAACAACUUCUCAUUUUCAACAAGGAUAGCCAGAUAGAUUUCGUUCUUUGUAUUCAAGGAUGGCUCCAACGCCAGUUCCAGCGGCAACAAAUCACCCGUCACGAUACUUUCUCCUACUGCAAUCCUACUUGCAUGCUACAUAAAAGGUAGAGUUACGCGGGACGUUAUGGCGCACAUGCGGUCUUGAGAUGCAUCAUCUUAUUCGCGAGGAUCCACGGACACUGCGCUUUGUCCCAUUUGACUCGAUUUAUGAUCGCGGCAGAUAAGUUAAAUAAACGGACCUGAGGAGAAUGGAGUCAAAAGAUCAUUGAAUAUUCAUGAAGUGACAAGAAGACUAGUGAUAGUAUAUAAAGAUUUAAUUGCAUCUCUGACAUGCUAAUUAAUUCGCCAACGCGAUUAUUUUCACGACCGCAGAUAUAUUCGCCUGACUAAAAGAUCAGACGGGACUUUGCGUUAAAAUUAUUGUAAUAAAUGCUUGUGCUAUAGCGAAGCCUUACUUAUCUUU
rnacentral:lncRNA from 1 species